CGGGUACGAGGAAGACGGUAAUCCGCUAGUUUUGGGAACUAGAGACACUGGGUUCGACCCCCAGGUACCCGACC
rnacentral:tRNA from 2 species